rnacentral:rRNA from 1 species
CCUACGGGAGGCAGCAGUGAGGAAUAUUGGUCAAUGGGCGGGAGCCUGAACCAGCCAAGUCGCGUGAGGGAAGACGGUCCUAUGGAUUGUAAACCUCUUUAGGCGGGGAGCAAUGCCGGGCACGUGUGCCCGGAGGGAGAGUACCCGCAGACUAAGCAUCGGCUAACUCCGUGCCAGCAGCCGCGGUAAUACUGAGGAUGCGAGCGUUAGCCGGAUUUUUGGGGGUUAAAGGGUGCGUAGGCGGAUUUUUAAGUCAGCGGUAAAAUGUCCGGGCUCAACCCGGGCCGGCCGUUGAAACUGGGGAUCUUGAGUGGGCGAGAAGUAUGCGGAAUGCGUGGUGUAGCGGUGAAAUGCAUAGAUAUCACGAAGAACUCCGAUUGCGAAGGCAGCAUACCGGCGCCCGACUGACGCUGAGGCACGAAAGCGUGGGGAGCAAACAGGAUUAGAUACCCCUGUAGUC